GUCAUGCACCUCCUCUCAGCUUGUCUGGUAAAGUCUUCAGCUUGACCUUCAUUCUGCUGUCUCCCCGGGUAAGAUUCCUGGCGUUGACUCCAAUUGAACCGCAGGCUUCACCCCUUGUGGUGCUCCCCCGCCAAUUCCUUUAAGUUUCAAUCUUGCGACCGUACUUCCCAGGCGGCAGACUUAACGGCUUCCCUGCGGCACAGCGUUGGCCAUAAACCAACGCUUCACCGAGUCUGCAUCGUUUACAGCUGGGACUACCCGGGUAUCUAAUCCGGUUUGCUCCCCCAGCUUUCAUCCCUCACUGUCGAACGUGUUCUGGUAGACCGCCUUCGCCACUGGUGGUCCUCAGAGGAUCAGAGGAUUUUACCCCUACCCCCCGAAUACCGUCUACCUCUCCCACUCCCUAGCUUUGUAGUAUCUCUAGCGGCCAAUCUGUUGAGCAGGUUGAUUUAACCAGAGACUUGCAAAGCCAGCUACGGAUGCUUUAGGCCCAAUAAACGUCCUGAUCACUCGAGGUGCUGGUAUUACCGCGGCGGCUGACACCAGACUUGCCCACCCCUUAUUCACCGGUGCUUUUAGGACCGGCAAAAGAUUCCUUUAGCAGGAAUCACUCGGACUAACCCAGUCGUGCUUUCGCACAUUGCUAAGGUUCUCGGCUGGUGCGCCCAUAGGGCUGG
rnacentral:rRNA from 1 species